UACAGAGGUCUCAAGCGUUGUUCGGAUUCAUUGGGCGUAAAGGGCGCGUAGGCUGCGGGGCAAGUCGGGUGUGAAAUCUCAGAGCUCAACUCUGAAACUGCACUCGAUACUGCUUUGCUUGAGGACUGGAGAGGAGAUUGGAAUUCACGGUGUAGCAGUGAAAUGCGUAGAUAUCGUGAGGAAGACCAGUGGCGAAGGCGGGUCUCUGGACAGUUCCUGACACUGAGGCACGAAGGCCAGGGGAGCAAACGGG
rnacentral:rRNA from 1 species